rfam:Schistosoma mansoni strain Puerto Rico chromosome W, complete genome
AUCCAGCUGACGAGUCUCAUAUAGGGCGAAACGCGCGUCAAACUGGAU